rnacentral:lncRNA from 1 species
UUAAAAGAAAAACUGAAUCGGACAAGAGGGCCUCACUCCUCACCCGAGUCCAAGUCUCAUUUGUGGACUCCACUUCAUCGCGUCACACCCCAAUGAUGAACUACUCGACAAUCGAGACCUCUAGUCCUGGUCUGACUCAUCCUCUGAUUUCUCACAACCUGAAAAGGUGAAUGGCUAGUGGACCUUGUUACUUAUGGGGCUAGGGUGGACGAAAGACUCCCUCGAUGGCAAGCUUCUCCAUGGCUCAGUUUGAAUCCUCCAUGAUCGAGUGAGGCUUCCUCAAGGACUUUGCUUUGCCACGUG